rnacentral:misc_RNA from 1 species
AUUUCAACCAAGAUGCUGUUUUAAUGCUUUCUUCGAUGAACUUGCCUGAUGGUAUUCAGAGGCGGCGAACUGCUGUGGAUGAACUGAACAUGCGCAAUGUUUUUGAGGAGAAUGAUGUUAUUUGUGCUGAAGUUCGUAAUUUUCAGAAUGAUGGGAGUUUACAACUGCAAGCAAGAAGUCAGAAGUAUGGGAAGCUUGAGAAGGGGCAAUUGCUGACAGUCCCCCCUUAUCUAGUGAAAAGACAAAAACAGCAUUUCCAUCAUCUGGUACAAUAUGGAGUUGACUUGAUACUUGGAUGUAAUGGAUUUAUAUG